GGACACAACACCACGGAUGACACAGGGACACACCGGGCUCAGCAGGCUUCUACCUGAGGGAUGAUGGUGAGCUGAGAGCGCAGGUCGUGGAGGCCAAUGUGUGCCACGUUGAGCCCAUCAAUGACGAUCUCACCCUCUGCGGCCUCCAGGAUUCGGAACAGGCAAAGAGUCAUGGAAGAUUUGCCAGCCCCAGUGCGGCCCACAAUGCCUACCUGUGGGGCAUGGGUGGGGCAUGGGAAGGGCUGUCAGUGGCACUUCCAGGUUUCCAUCAGUAGCCAAUAUAUAUCCCGGUCCUCCCAACAAGGGCUGUGGCAGUGUCCCCAGGCACAAGUACCUUCUCCCCACCCUGCACAUGAACAGUCACGUUCUUCAGCACCAACUCGAGGCCAGGCCGGUACCGCACUGAAUAGUUCCGGAACUCCACCAUUCCUCGCGUGGGCCAGCCUUCCGGGGCGCGGUUGCUCUCCACCACCCAGGGGGCCUAGAGGGAGACGAUUGGAUUCUUCUGUUCUCAUCCAGUAUCACUGAGGACCUUGAAGUCUUGGAUUCGGCCAUAGGCCCGAAUGACACUGGUGCCCGUUACUGUCUCCGAAAAGUGGGAGAAGAUGGGUGAGCGGCUGAUGGAUUCCAGCCGCUUGAGCUGCCGUGAUGUGGCCACAUAGAAGCGCUGGCCAGGGAUAGGAAGAGAACUCCAGUCAGGAAUGUCAUCCAGCCCAACUCAGCCCUGCAUGUCCUCCAGUCUCCUGUGCUUCCUCCUCCUGGCCCUGCUCUUCCCACAAGCCUCGCUCGAGCUUCCUACACUUUCUUGGAGAACAGAUUCCAGACAGACAUUAUUCACUUCCCCUCUGAUCAACUUUGCCCAGUCAGCCAGGCCACCUCUUCCACGCAGCUCUCUCUGAUUCCCUAUGCCCUCCUGUCUCCUCAUCUUUUACAGCCCGUGAUACUAUCUUGUUUAACCUCCAAGGCAGUGAGAUGUCUUGUUCUACUUAAAGAUCCUAGAUCAUAUGAUCAUAUUCAAAUGACUUUGCAAAGAAAAUUUUUCUAUUUUUUCCCCCUG
rnacentral:lncRNA from 1 species